UACAGAGGGUGCAAACGUUGUUCGGAAUUACUGGGCGUAAAGGGCGCGUAGGCGGCCAACUAAGUCAGACGUGAAAUCCCUCGGCUUAACCGGGGAACUGCGUCUGAUACUGGAUGGCUUGAGUUUGGGAGAGGGAUGCGGAAUUCCAGGUGUAGCGGUGAAAUGCGUAGAUAUCUGGAGGAACACCGGUGGCGAAGGCGGCAUCCUGGACCAACACUGACGCUGAGUGAGCGAAAGCCAGGGGAGCAAACGGG
rnacentral:rRNA from 1 species